rnacentral:rRNA from 1 species
AGAGUUUGAUCAUGGCUCAGAUUGAACGCUGGCGGCAGGCCUAACACAUGCAAGUCGAACGGUAACAGGAAGCAGCUUGCUGCUUUGCUGACGAGUGGCGGACGGGUGAGUAAUGUCUGGGAAACUGCCUGAUGGAGGGGGAUAACUACUGGAAACGGUAGCUAAUACCGCAUAACGUCGCAAGACCAAAGAGGGGGACCUUCGGGCCUCUUGCCAUCGGAUGUGCCCAGAUGGGAUUAGCUUGUUGGUGGGGUAACGGCUCACCAAGGCGACGAUCCCUAGCUGGUCUGAGAGGAUGACCAGCCACACUGGAACUGAGACACGGUCCAGACUCCUACGGGAGGCAGCAGUGGGGAAUAUUGCACAAUGGGCGCAAGCCUGAUGCAGCCAUGCCGCGUGUAUGAAGAAGGCCUUCGGGUUGUAAAGUACUUUCAGCGGGGAGGAAGGGAGUAAAGUUAAUACCUUUACUCAUUGACGUUACCCGCAGAAGAAGCACCGGCUAACUCCGUGCCAGCAGCCGCGGUAAUACGGAGGGUGCAAGCGUUAAUCGGAAUUACUGGGCGUAAAGCGCACGCAGGCGGUUUGUUAAGUCAGAUGUGAAAUCCCCGGGCUCAACCUGGGAACUGCAUCUGAUACUGGCAAGCUUGAGUCUCGUAGAGGGGGGUAGAAUUCCAGGUGUAGCGGUGAAAUGCGUAGAGAUCUGGAGGAAUACCGGUGGCGAAGGCGGCCCCCUGGACGAAGACUGACGCUCAGGUGCGAAAGCGUGGGGAGCAAACAGGAUUAGAUACCCUGGUAGUCCACGCCGUAAACGAUGUCGACUUGGAGGUUGUGCCCUUGAGGCGUGGCUUCCGGAGCUAACGCGUUAAGUCGACCGCCUGGGGAGUACGGCCGCAAGGUUAAAACUCAAAUGAAUUGACGGGGGCCCGCACAAGCGGUGGAGCAUGUGGUUUAAUUCGAUGCAACGCGAAGAACCUUACCUGGUCUUGACAUCCACGGAAGUUUUCAGAGAUGAGAAUGUGCCUUCGGGAACCGUGAGACAGGUGCUGCAUGGCUGUCGUCAGCUCGUGUUGUGAAAUGUUGGGUUAAGUCCCGCAACGAGCGCAACCCUUAUCCUUUGUUGCCAGCGGUCCGGCCGGGAACUCAAAGGAGACUGCCAGUGAUAAACUGGAGGAAGGUGGGGAUGACGUCAAGUCAUCAUGGCCCUUACGACCAGGGCUACACACGUGCUACAAUGGCGCAUACAAAGAGAAGCGACCUCGCGAGAGCAAGCGGACCUCAUAAAGUGCGUCGUAGUCCGGAUUGGAGUCUGCAACUCGACUCCAUGAAGUCGGAAUCGCUAGUAAUCGUGGAUCAGAAUGCCACGGUGAAUACGUUCCCGGGCCUUGUACACACCGCCCGUCACACCAUGGGAGUGAGUUGCAAAAGAAGUAGGUAGCUUAACCUUCGGGAGGGCGCUUACCACUUUGUGAUUCAUGACUGGGGUGAAGUCGUAACAAGGUAACCGUAGGGGAACCUGCGGUUGGAUCACCU